AGCUCCAAUAGCGUAUAUUAAAGUUGUUGUGGUUAAAAAGCUCGUAGUUGGAUCUCAGCCCACGCUUGGCGGUCCACAAUGCGUGGUUACUGCCAGGCUGGGCACUCUACCGCCUCUGUCCUGUGGUGUUCUUAACCGGAUGUCACAGGCGGUCGGUACGUUUACUUUGAAAAAAUUAGAGUGCUCAAAGCAGGCCUCCCGCCUGAAUACUGUUGCAUGGAAUAAUGAAAUAGGACUUUGGUUCUAUUUUGUUGGUCUUCGGAACCAAGGUAAUGAUUAAGAGGGACAGACGGGGGCAUUAGUAUUGCGACGCUAGAGGUGAAAUUCUUGGACCGUCGCAAGACUAACUAAAGCGAAAGCAUUUGCCAAGAAUGUUUUCA
rnacentral:rRNA from 1 species